GUAAUUGCUGAAAUCGCUGUUCAAGAUAAGUAUCGAUUUUCAUUAGAAUUAAUUGAUGACGCCGAUAAAAGAUGCACAAUAAAAACCAAAGGUAGCAGCAGAUGUUGGUUGUCCGGGUGCACAUUCAUCAUACCGUAGCUACCUAUGGAAGAAUGUGUUUUUUUUCCACAAUGUAAUCAUCGUUCAUACAUCUGAAUCCUCAAUUGAUCUAAAUCACUUAAAAAGAAAAAGGCGAUAAUGAACUGCAGCUGCACGACGGCGAACUCCAGGGGGAAACAUGAGGACAUCAUGGCAGAUAAAGUCCCAACACCGAUAUGAAAACACACACAGCGUCCACUGACUGGUGUGUGUGAGUUGGGGGGUAUCAACCCCCCCCCUCCCAUUUAACAUCAGUGUAAACAAGGCCAACAAAGGCCAGAUUAGAAUAACAGUGCGUCUGCGUGGAGGAAGUCACCAAUUAUUUGGGCAUGCAGCAUUUGCAGCAAGCGGUUCCUUAUUUAGCAUCAGAAGAGUUGAAUGCAACUUCUGCCUGCAGCAUACAGACACACACACACACACACGCGCGCGCACACACACAGACACACGCACACGCACACACACACGAAUCACAACUCCCUAAUAAACCCAGCAGCCUUAAAUAAUUUAUCAAGUAUGGAUUUUGCUUAAAAUAAAUGACUUUGUUUUCAAAGGGUGCUUUCACUUAUCAUACGUUAAUGAUGAGAGGAAUAAAUAACCUGAAAAAAACUUUGAAAACAAAGAAACGGAAUGAAGGAAAAACAAUAGAACAAUUUUUUACAAUCUUCAAAAACAACGAUUGUUUUAUGCUUUUCUGUCUAUGAUCUGAAAAUGUGUUUCAAGGUUGUAAGGUUGAUCAUUUAAUCACAAAACACACUGUGUCUCUCUUACACACACACACACACACACACACACACACACACAGAUACUCAGUUUAUGGCUCUCUUCUUCAUUUAUGUCUGCAGCUGAUUGAUUUAAUUAGUUUAACAUAUAUAUGCAUAAUUAAUGCCAAAUAUUACCAAUUCUAAAUAUAUCCCAACACACCUUGAGUGCACAAUUAUUUUUCAGACGCCCUGAAAACAUACAUUCUAUCAGCAUUUAAAAAAAUAAUUGUUCCCUUCUAUUCUUCAUUAAAUAUUCAUAUUUUACUGAAACACAUCUGAGAAAAAUACAAUAUUUACAUGUGCUUGUGUUUGGGGCUGUUUUGACGAUGAUGAUAUAUAAAAAAAUAUAUAUAUAUAUAUAUAUAUAUAUAUAUAUAUAUAUAUAUAUAUAUAUAUAUAUAUAUAUAUAUAUAUAUAUAUAUAAAAUAAACCCUGAUCACAGCAGAGGGCAUUUAGUAUGGUUUUAUGGAUGGAAUAAAGAAAUAGGAUUACAGAAUGCAUUGGUUCAUCUUCUGCCCUCCUGUUGUGCAUGUAAUAGUGGAAUGUAUAUAUUCCACAGGACAACCUUUGAGCUCUGUGUUGCGAUGUUUUAGCGCUUCAUGCUCGCUGCAGACUGUGGGUAUCAGUUAUCACAAGCUGGUGUCGAUGAAUCCACUUAUUGAGAAUGUGAGAUCUACCCAGGGUGCUGAAGAAAAUAUAGAAAACGCUCUAAAUGUUUUCAUUGUGAUGAUGAAAGGUGAAAAG
ensembl:lncRNA